CCUACGGGGGGCAGCAGUGAGGAAUAUUGGUCAAUGGGCGUAAGCCUGAACCAGCCAAGUCGCGUGAGGGAUGAAGGUUCUAUGGAUCGUAAACCUCUUUUAUAAGGGAAUAAAGUGUGGGACGUGUCCUGUUUUGUAUGUACCUUAUGAAUAAGGAACGGCUAACUCCGUGCCAGCAGCCGCGGUAAUACGGAGGAUCCGAGCGUUAUCCGGAUUUAUUGGGUUUAAAGGGUGCGUAGGCGGCCUUUUAAGUCAGCGGUGAAAGUCUGUGGCUCAACCAUAGAAUUGCCGUUGAAACUGGGAGGCUUGAGUAUGUUUGAGGCAGGCGGAAUGCGUGGUGUAGCGGUGAAAUGCGUAGAUAUCACGCAGAACCCCGAUUGCGAAGGCAGCCUGCCAAGCCAUGACUGACGCUGAUGCACGAAAGCGUGGGGAUCAAACAGGAUUAGAUACCCCAGUAGUC
rnacentral:rRNA from 1 species